GUGUCAGCAGCCGCGGUAAGACGGAGGAGGCUAGCGUUGUUCGGAAUUACUGGGCGUAAAGCGCACGCAGGCGGCGUGCCAAGUCGGAGGUGAAAUCCCGGGGCUCAACCCCGGAACGGCCUCCGAUACUGGCAUGCUGGAACGAGGGAGAGGAGAGCGGAAUUCCCAGUGUAGAGGUGAAAUUCGUAGAUAUUGGGAAGAACACCGGUGGCGAAGGCGGCUCUCUGGCCCUCUGUUGACGCUCAUGUGCGAAAGCGUGGGGAGCAAACAGGAUUAGAUACCCUUGUAGUCC
rnacentral:rRNA from 1 species